rnacentral:rRNA from 1 species
UACGUAGGGGGCUAGCGUUGUCCGGAUUUAUUGGGCGUAAAGAGCGUGUAGGCGGCCAGAUAAGUCCACUGUGAAAUCUCGAGGCUCAACUUCGAGCUGUCGGUGGAAACUGUCUGGCUAGAGUCCGGAAGAGGAGAAUGGAAUUCCUGGUGUAGCGGUGAAAUGCGCAGAUAUCAGGAAGAACACCCGUGGCGAAGGCGGUUCUCUGGGACGGUACUGACGCUGAGACGCGAAAGCGUGGGGAGCGAACAGG